AGGGUUUGAUCAUGGCUCAGGAUGAACGUUGGCGGCGUGCCUAACACAUGCAAGUCGAACGCUAAUAGCAAUAUUGGAGUGGCGCACGGGUGAGUAACACGUAGCUUAUCUACCUCAAAGCGCGGGAUAACGUGUCGAAAGACAGGCUAAUACCGCAUAAGCUCCCGAUCUGUAGAGGGUUGAGAGAAAAGGCGCAAGUCACUUUGAGAUGAGGCUGCGGCCCAUCAGCUAGUUGGUGAGGUAAAAGCUUACCAAGGCGACGACGGGUAGGGGACCUGAGAGGGUGACCCCCCACACUGGGACUGAGACACGGCCCAGACUCCUACGGGAGGCAGCAGUGAGGAAUAUUGCACAAUGGGCGCAAGCCUGAUGCAGCGACGCCGCGUGGGUGAAGAAGGUUUUCGGAUCGUAAAACCCUUUUCUGUGUGACGAGUAAGGACGGUAGCACAGGAAUAAGUCUCGGCUAACUACGUGCCAGCAGCCGCGGUAAAACGUAGGAGACAAACGUUAUCCGGAGUUACUGGGCGUAAAGGGCGUGUAGGUGGUUGCGUAAGUCUGGCGUGAAAUAUCUCGGCUUAACCGAGGCAGGUCGUCGGAUACUGCGUAACUCGAGGACGGUAGAGGCGUGUGGAAUUCCGGGUGUAGUGGUGAAAUGCGUAGAGAUCCGGAGGAACACCAGUGGCGAAGGCGACACGCUGGGCCGUACCUGACACUGAUGCGCGACAGCAUGGGGAGCAAACAGGAUUAGAAACCCUGGUAGUCCAUGCCGUAAACGAUGCUAGCUGGGUGUUCAGGGGGGAAACCCCUCGGGGU
rnacentral:rRNA from 1 species